GAUGAACGCUGGCGGCGUGCCUAACACAUGCAAGUCGAGCGAGAUAAAUGUGAGUGGAGACUUCGGUCAAAGCAAUCAAUUUGAAAGCGGCGGACGGGUGAGUAACGCGUGAGCAAUCUGCCCCAUACAAAGGGAUACCCACUGGAAACGGUGAUUAAUACCUUAUAAGACCACGAAGUCGCCUGGCUUAGUGGCCAAAGAUUUAUCGGUAUGGGAUGAGCUCGCGUCUGAUUAGCUAGUUGGUGAGGUAAUGGCUCACCAAGGCGACGAUCAGUAGCCGACCUGAGAGGGUGAACGGCCACACUGGAACUGAGACACGGUCCAGACUCCUACGGGAGGCAGCAGUGGGGAAUAUUGCACAAUGGGCGCAAGCCUGAUGCAGCAACGCCGCGUGAAUGAUGAAGGCCUUCGGGUCGUAAAGUUCUGUCCUAAGGGAAGAAUACAGUGACGGUACCUUAGGAGGAAGCCCCGGCUAACUACGUGCCAGCCGCCGCGGUAA
rnacentral:rRNA from 1 species